GAGAGCGCCAUGGUACCCCAGCAGGUGAGGCUUUCUGAAUGGUGUCUUAUUGCUCUAAUGUGUUCUUCUUCUAUUACUUAUGUUGUUACCUCUUACCUUGAUGGCAUCCUUUCCUAGUUGACUGAAAUGAUAGUUUAUGGUGAACUUGAUCCUUUUUGUGAUAGAAGUGGUUUAAUUGCUGCUACUAUGAUGCAGAGAGAGUUUUGGCUGCAAGC
rnacentral:misc_RNA from 1 species